UACAGAGGGUGCUAGCGUUGUUCGGAAUCAUUGGGCGUAAAGGGCGUGUAGGCGGUUUGUUAAGUCAUGUGUGAAAUCCCUCGGCUCAACCGGGGAACGACGCAUGAAACUGGCAAGCUAGAGUACCAAAGAGGGGGGUGGAAUUCCCGGUGUAGCGGUGAAAUGCGUAGAUAUCAGGAAGAACACCCGUGGCGAAGGCGGCUCUCCGGGACGGUACUGACGCUGAGACGCGAAAGCGUGGGGAGCGAACAGG
rnacentral:rRNA from 1 species